UACGUGGGGUGCAAACGUUGCUCGGAAUCACUGGGCUUAAAGCGUGCGUAGGCGGCCCAUCUUGUCGGAUGUGAAAUCCCUCGGCUUAACCGAGGAAGGGCAUCCGAGACGGACGGGCUUGAGUACCGGAGAGGGCGACGGAAUUCCCGGUGUAGUGGUGAAAUACGUAGAUAUCGGGAGGAACACCGGCGGCGAAGGCGGUCGCCUGGACGGAUACUGACGCUGAGACACGAAAGCGUGGGGAGCAAACAGG
rnacentral:rRNA from 1 species